CUCUGAAGAGUCCGUUAUACGGCGCCGUAGGUGAAAUACACUAACUGUGUAGAAGCUCUCAGGCAAAAGUACAGAG
rnacentral:ncRNA from 2 species